GGUUGUAAAGCCCUGUCGGAGGGGACGAAGUCUUCGGAUUGACGGUACCUUCCAAGAAAGCACCGGCUAACUCCGUGCCAGCAGCCGCGGUAAUACGGAGGGUGCAAGCGUUGCUCGGAAUUACUGGGCGUAAAGCGUACGCAGGCGGUCUGAUAAGUCGGGUGUGAAAGCCCCGGGCUCAACCCGGGAACUGCAUUCGAAACUGCCAGACUUGAGUUUGGGAGAGGGAAGUGGAAUUCCUGGUGUAGAGGUGAAAUUCGUUGAUAUCAGGAGGAACACCGGCGGCGAAAGCGGCUUCCUGGCCCGAUACUGACGCUCAUGUACGAAAGCGUGGGGAGCAAACAGGAUUAGAUACCCUGGUAGUCCACGCCGUAAACGAUGAGUGCUAGAUGUUGGAGGUAUUCACCCCCUUCAGUGUCGAAGCUAACGCAUUAAGCACUCCGCCUGGGGAGUACGGCCGCAAGGUUAAAACUCAAAGGAAUUGACGGGG
rnacentral:rRNA from 1 species